rnacentral:lncRNA from 1 species
GGGGGAUGUAAUUACAUGUUAAAAAAAUUUGGGUGCUGAAUCUUUAUGUUAAGUAGUGAUUUGGUCCAGUUCAAAAAGGUCAAAUUUUAUCACGUCUGAAGCUGUCAAACUGAAUUUUACACCCCUUAACACAGAAUUGUCAAUAUUUUGAGUUAGAGCUGGUAGAAGUUUCUAUAAUUUUGAUAUUAUUUGUCUCACUGGUAGUAAACUACACUGUAAAAAUCUUUUUGAGAAAGAGCAGGUGCAAUUUUUUUAAUUUGAAUUAAUGGUAUAAAAGAAAUGCACUACGAAAUAACUGUGUUCUCGGGCCUACUGAAAC